UGGGGUGUAUCCUAGUGGUAAAGUGUGUGCAUAGUAUGCACAGGCCCUGGGUUCAAUACUCAGCAUUAA
rnacentral:tRNA from 1 species